CUCACUAAUGCGAUAAAGGCAGGUUGGAAGGCGGCUGAUAUUAAGGAAAACUGGAUGUCAACGAAUCUAUUCUCCAAAUAUGAAAGAAAAAAUGUUCACAAAGCUAACCCUCAACAAUUUUAGAAGAGUUUUAACCAAUCAGUGUUGUACGUGUCCGCAAAGGCCUUGAAAACAUGGACGGAGGGAAAAAAGUAGGAACAUAAUGGUACAUUUAUGAUUGUUUUAAUAAUUUUAUUGUAUUAUUGUUAUAAUAUAUAAUAUAAUUUUAUUGGAUUGUAAUACGAAUUCACGUAGGAAAAAAUAUCAAUAGCUUAUAAUGCUAACUUAUUCAGUGAGAACAACGCUACACUUUACAAGGUUAAAGAUCCGAAAAAAAACAAUACAGAAUAAAGGUACAUAACUUACGCGUUGAAACUUUUCCUGAACUGGCAGUUUAAUAUCUAUGCACGAAUACUGUCUUCUUCAAAGGUAUGUUACUUGGAAAUGAAUACCAUAAUAUAAUGUUAAAAUUUGAAUUUUCUAGUUUUAUAUGCCGAUACGUAAAUGAACUAUUCUAUAGGGUUCUAUAGGUUGUUGUGUACAGGGUUGCGUGUAGGCAUAUAACUAAAUAACCUAGUUUUUUUGCAUCAGUGCGAAUACCAUAGAAUGACUCAGAAAAAAAACUUUGGCAUUGCAAACAGGAAGUCCAUGUAGGUGGCAAAUAUAUAUGCAAGUAUAUAUUUUCCGGAAUAGACAGAUUAAUAAGUUUAGACUCGUGGAAAUGUACAGGUUCUGUUUAAAAGUAACCAUAAAACAAGCAAAGGAAAAAAAUAGUUUGAAAUAUGUGGUUGCCUGAGACUUUUAUAAAUAUUACACUGUUUUAGCCAUUUUUAGACUUGAAAAUAGGUGAUGACGUUCUCUAAUCUGUUAUCCCAAUUGUCCCACAAUUCACUAACAAACAUUCUUAACAAGUUUAUGCCAAUAUAAUGUCUUUUUCCUCACUUUUGAAGAGAAUAGGUGUGGCUUUCCCUAUCCACCCGACCGGGUUUUUUUCAGGCUCCCAGAAAAGUUAGAAAUAAAUAGGAUUAAAAGAUUUAAACUUUUGAUGUAUUUUGUUUUUCUGUUUUGGUUUCUGUUACUUCCGGCGCCAUAUGGACAGGUUACGUGAUUUCUCAAGAAAAAAAAAAACACUCCACUGCGGGGUAUUGAUGCACUAAACAAUUACUUGAUAUCGUUUACUCGUCUGUCUCACAAUCACAUUAAAGGGGGUUUACGUACUUUUCUUUUUUAACAUUUCGCGUGCGUUUUAUGAAAAGCCUACCAAUCACUAUCAUCUGUCAAGCCAGGUGUUUCGACAUAUUGUCUUCUUCGAUAUAUUUAUAAUACACCUUUCCCGAGACUUAUUCUUUUGAUGUGCCGCAACAUUUUCUGUUGAGUUUUAUGAAAAACGGACAACAGAUUUGAAUUCCUUAUCAAAAAUGUCAUAAAAAAAAAAGAAAAUUUCGAAACAAUGCAGCAAGUAAACAACCUGCUAUUCUAAUUAAAAGAUUUGUGGCAUGUCCAACCUCUUUUUGAAAACGAGGCGGGACAUGGUAACUUGAGCAUUAAGAAGACUUUGACUGUGAUAUAUAUCUCCUCAAAAUAGCACUUUCUGUUGGCGUAUCAAGUUAAACUUUUACACAUAAAUUAAACAAACUAUGCUGAAUUCAAAUAUGGUAUUCAUAUUUUACGAGUUUAAAAAAAGUAUGACUCAUGGUCUCGGGAAAGGUGUAUAAUGCGUAACUGGCAACAGAAUUAUUCAUUGAAUUAAACAAUAACAUACAUUGUAGAGAAGUAUAGGAGGUGGAGCCCAUUGUUGUUUUCGACAUAUGUUUUCUCCUAUUUUCCACUUGUGUAUACACUUGCCAAAGAAGUGAUUAAUAAUGUGCAUUAAUAUGUUUUUGUUUGACUUGUUUAUUUAGCACUGCAGUUUCCAAAAUAAUGUCAUUAUUCUUUUCUGCAGGUAAUGUAUUGAAUUAGUCAUGUAAAAAUGUAUCAAAUAAAUCUAUUUUUCAAUAAUUUUUAAGUUUUAUUCCUACGUGGUUAGAUUCCUUACAGGGGGUUUGUUUCUGCA